CGUAAGCAUGCCAUUGCUUUUCAUUAUUGGUGUUAAGUUGCAACAGUUGAGUUUCUGGUAUGUUUUGUAUCUCGAGGCAGUUUAUAUGCUAUCAAUUGGGUUGGAGGAGAAGAUAUCAAAGUUGUUGCACACGAUGUCCCCAUACCCAGAUAUAAGACUAGAAGCACAAUUAACCCGUGACUUUGGUCUACUAAAGCUGCAUCCGAAGAAUUUGAUUUAAAUGCCUUUAAUUCUGGAAGGCACACCGAAGCAUCUAAGGCUCUAUGAAAUGCUGAAAAGGGUACUGGUAUACAAGCUAUCGUACCGCCGUCGCAUAGGGAUGCUUUUGAUUCAGUUCUUACUUUGAAUGAGAUAUGCACUAUUGCAAACUUUCAGGUUCAACUGAAUGAUCUGCUUUUCAAGCCUACACCGCACAAUUUCCUCAUAAAAUUCACUGGAGGUACCAAAGUUGGUGAUAGAAACAAUCACAAAAUACCAGAAAAAAUCUUAAUGUAACUCCUUUGGUUGAUAUUUUAACUGGCAGGUGGAAUAAACAUUUACUUAUAGAUGUUAUUGGAGUGGUUGAUGAAAUAGGCUAAACACAGGGUCAAGUUGGUGGUAAAAAACAACAGGUGGACUUCACCAUUCGAGACUUGAGCAACAACACCGUAAAUUGUACACUUUGGAAGUCUUACGCUAUGCAAUUUAUCAACUACAUGCAACAACAUUCUAAUUCUUCUGAUCCAGUUGUGGUUUUUAUUCAAUACGCCAAAGUCAAACAAGAAUGGUAAAUAUCCUCUAUCUGUUACCAACACUUACAAUGUCACUAAAGUCGCAAUCAAUGAGGAUUUGGAACCAAACAAAGACUUUGCCAAAAGUUGUUUACAAUAUUUGUAUUUCGAUAUUCUAUAAUAUUAUACGUUAUUAGCCUUUUUAAUGGUUUUUUGGUUUUUAGUAUAACAAAGGAAAAUAUGAUGGCUCUAUCUAACCAUCGAAGUUCACAAUCUCAAGUGUGGUCCCAAAACUCAUCUAGUUCUUAACAAACUCCAUAUCAGAAAUUGAUGUCAAAAUUUGUGGUACUCCCUCUUGCAGAUAUUAUAAAACUUAUUGAGGUAACUUUUUGCUCUACUAUUGCAACCACUUAGAAACUCAUUGCAUUGAGGUUUGGCUGGUACUACCAUGCAUGUCAUGAAUGCCCAUGCUCGGUGAAGGGAGAUAAGCCACCUUAUAUUUUUCCUAAAGGACAUGGCACAUAGACGCCAAUUUAUAGGUAUAAAAUUAAGGUGGGUGUUGUUCACGGUAGCACAAAAUGCAACUUUGUAUUAUGAGACAAAGAAAGUGAGCAACUCUUAGACAUAUCUGCUGCACACAUGCACACCACGAUGAUUGAGAAGGGAAUAAAUGAUCCUCUUGAAUUUCCGCUCGCACUUGACAAAAUGUUGGGUUUAGAGAUUGCCUUCAAGGUUAAGUGGCAACCAGAUUGGAAGAAUUGUUCUGUUGUGAUGUUACUUCGAGAGAGUGUUGAUGAAAGGGAUGUUGUUGAUGAGAGGGAUGUUAUUACGGUUUUGUUUUUGUACUUACCUAAUAAGUAUUUGUUUUCUUAUGUUAUACUUUUAUAUAUAUGUAUAUAUAUAUAUAUAUGUGUUUUCCAUACUUCUUAAUUUGACUUCUUCAUUUUUAUGCAGGAUCUUGAAAUUACUUCCAAACACACCCCAAACCAAUGACACCUACGGCAAAGAGGCAUGCUUCUAAUGGCUCAAGUGAAUCAACAACAAUGAAGAACUUGUGUGAUGGAGAGUUAUAUUCAACAAAGCUCAAAAAAAUCACGAAAGGCAGAAAGAGAGCUGUCAAGGUUGAGAAGCACUGACAUUGUCUUGAGAAACAAUCUAUUUUGUGGAAUCACAAUCUGAUUUUUUUCUUAUGUUUAUAAUUAUAUCAUGUAUAUGUUAUUAUGUUGUGCUAAUGGUUAU